CCUACGGGAGGCAGCAGUGAGGAAUAUUGGUCAAUGGACGAGAGUCUGAACCAGCCAAGUAGCGUGAAGGAUGACGGCCCUAUGGGUUGUAAACUUCUUUUAUAUGGGAAUAAACUGUUCCACGUGUGGGGUUUUGUAUGUACCAUAUGAAUAAGGAUCGGCUAACUCCGUGCCAGCAGCCGCGGUAAUACGGAGGAUCCGAGCGUUAUCCGGAUUUAUUGGGUUUAAAGGGUGCGUAGGUGGAUUGUUAAGUUAGAUGUGAAAGUUUGCGGCUUAACCGUAAAAUUGCAGUUGAAACUGGCAGUCUUGAGUACAGUAGAGGUGGGCGGAAUUAGUGGUGUAGCGGUGAAAUGCUUAGAUAUCACGAAGAACUCCGAUUGCGAAGGCAGCUCACUGGACUGCAACUGACACUGAGGCUCGAAAGUGUGGGUAUCAAACAGGAUUAGAUACCCGAGUAGUC
rnacentral:rRNA from 1 species